UACGGGGGGGGCAAGCGUUGUUCGGAAUUACUGGGCGUAAAGGGCUCGUAGGCGGCCAACUAAGUCAGACGUGAAAUCCCUCGGCUUAACCGGGGAACUGCGUCUGAUACUGGUUGGCUUGAAUCCGGGAGAAGGAUGUGGAAUUCCAGGUGUAGCGGUGAAAUGCGUAGAUAUCUGGAGGAACACCGGUGGCGAAGGCGGCAUCCUGGACCGGUAUUGACGCUGAGGAGCGAAAGCCAGGGGAGCAAACGGG
rnacentral:rRNA from 1 species